rnacentral:sRNA from 1 species
ACUGUAGCAAAAUCUACAGUCAGCCGUGGAAAGCUGAAUAAUGUAUCACUGGCGAACAGUAGCACGCCAUUAAACCGUGCUUUUUUU